rnacentral:rRNA from 1 species
AAUCAACGCUGGCGGCGUGCCUCAGACAUGCAAGUCGAACGAUUAAAGCUCUCUUCGGAGAGUGCAUAGAGUGGCGCACGGGUGAGUAACACGUAAGUAAUCUACCCCCGAGUGGGGAAUAACAGUCGGAAACGACUGCUAAUACCGCAUAAUGCAGCGGCACCGCAAGGUGACAGUUGUUAAAGGAGCAAUCCGCUUGAGGAGGAGCUUGCGGCAGAUUAGCUAGUUGGUAGGGUAAUGGCUUACCAAGGCUACGAUCUGUAUCCGGUCUAAGAGGACGGUCGGACACACUGACACUGAAUAACGGGUCAGACUCCUACGGGAGGCAGCAGUCGGGAAUUUUGGGCAAUGGGCGAAAGCCUGACCCAGCAACGCCGCGUGAAGGAUGAAGUAUUUCGGUAUGUAAACUUCGAAAGAAUAGGAAGAAUAAAUGACGGUACUAUUUAUAAGCUCCGGCUAACUACGUGCCAGCAGCCGCGGUAAUAC